rnacentral:rRNA from 1 species
GUGGGGAAUCUUGCGCAAUGGGCGAAAGCCUGACGCAGCCAUGCCGCGUGAAUGAUGAAGGUCUUAGGAUUGUAAAAUUCUUUCACCGGGGACGAUAAUGACGGUACCCGGAGAAGAAGCUCCGGCUAACUUCGUGCCAGCAGCCGCGGUAAUACGAAGGGGGCUAGCGUUGCUCGGAAUUACUGGGCGUAAAGGGCGCGUAGGCGGACAGCUUAGUCAGAGGUGAAAGCCCAGGGCUCAACCUUGGAAUUGCCUUUGAUACUGACUGUCUUGAGUUUGGGAGAGGUGAGUGGAACUCCGAGUGUAGAGGUGAAAUUCGUAGAUAUUCGGAAGAACACCAGUGGCGAAGGCGACUCACUGGCCCAAUACUGACGCUGAGGCGCGAAAGCGUGGGGAGCAAACAGGAUUAGAAACCCUGGUAGUCC